UCGAGAAUCUUCGGCAAUGGGCGCAAGCCUGACCGAGCGACGCCGCGUGUGGGAUGAAGGCCUUCGGGUUGUAAACCACUGUCAGAGGGGAUGAAAUACAGGUGGGUACUCCCAUCUGCUUGACAUAGCCUCAGAGGAAGGACGGGCUAAGUUCGUGCCAGCAGCCGCGGUAAGACGAACCGUCCGAACGUUAUUCGGAAUUACUGGGCUUAAAGGGUGCGUAGGCGGCGCGGAAAGUUGGGUGUGAAAUCCCUCGGCUUAACCGAGGAACUGCGCCCAAAACUACCGUGCUUGAGGGAGAUAGAGGUGAGCGGAACUUAGGGUGGAGCGGUGAAAUGCGUUGAUAUCCUAAGGAACACCGGUGGCGAAAGCGGCUCACUGGAUCUUUUCUGACGCUGAGGCACGAAAGCUAGGGUAGCAAACGG
rnacentral:rRNA from 1 species